rnacentral:rRNA from 1 species
CCUACGGGAGGCAGCAGUGGGGAAUAUUGCACAAUGGGGGAGACCCUGAUGCAGCAACGCCGCGUGAGUGAUGAAGGACUUAGGGGUGGAAAGCUCUAUCAGUAGGGAAGAAGAGGACGGUACCUGAGUAAGAAUCCCCGGCUAACUACGAGCCAGCAGCCGCGGUACUACGUAGGAGGCAAGCGUUAUCCGGAUUUACUGGGUGUAAUGGGAGCGUAGACGGUGAGAUAAGUCUGAAGUGAAAGCACGGGGCUCAACCCCGAUACUGCUUUGGAAACUGCCUGACUGGAGUGCAGGAGAGGCAAGCGGAAUUCGUGGUGUAGCGGUGAAAUGCUUAGAUAUUAGGAAGAACACCAGUGGCGAAGGCGGCUUGCUGGACAGUAACUGACGUUGAGGCUCGAAAGCGUGGGGAGCAAACAGGAUUAGAUACCCCUGUAGUC